rnacentral:lncRNA from 1 species
AUGGGAAGGAGAAAGAGAGCAAGACCCACUCAAGGGAAGAUAGAGAGCCUUAGAUGUUGAGGUGGAUCAAUGAGAAAUGGAGUUUUGAGACAAGAAAAGGUUAGGAUCUAGAGGGUUUCAAGUGAGAAAAAAAUUUGAAGCAAAUGGAGCUCAAAUGAAGAAGAUUUGAGGUGGAAGGAGAUGUAGGAUGAUGGAUCUAGGAGAUUUGAGAUGGGUUUGAGAGAUUUGGAGGGAGAAGAGUCCUAGAUCUAGAGGAUUUAAGGUAGAGAAGGAAGCCUUAUAAAAAAAUGGAGAAAAGGGGAGAAG